rnacentral:rRNA from 1 species
GACCGGCGCACGGGUGCGUAACGCGUAUACAAUCUGCCUUGUACUGGGGUAUAGCCUUUAGAAAUGAAGAUUAAUCCCCCAUGGUCUAUAUAUAUGGCAUCAUAUUUAUAGUAAAGGUUACGGUACAAGAUGAGUAUGCGUCCUAUUAGUUAGUUGGUGAGGUAACGGCUUACCAAGACUACGAUAGGUAGGGGCCCUGAGAGGGGGAUCCCCCACACUGGUACUGAGACACGGACCAGACUCCUACGGGAGGCAGCAGUGAGGAAUAUUGGACAAUGGGCGAGAGCCUGAUCCAGCCAUGCCGCGUGCAGGAAGACUGCCCUAUGGGUUGUAAACUGCUUUUAUACAGGAAGAAACACUCCCUCGUGAGGGAGCUUGACGGUACUGUAAGAAUAAGGACCGGCUAACUCCGUGCCAGCAGCCGCGGUAAUACGGAGGGUCCGAGCGUUAUCCGGAAUCAUUGGGUUUAAAGGGUCCGUAGGCGGGCAAUUAAGUCAGUGGUGAAAGUCUGCAGCUCAACUGUAGAAUUGCCAUUGAUACU